UGGGGAAUAUUGGACAAUGGGCGCAAGCCUGAUCCAGCCAUGCCGCGUGCGGGAAGACAGCCCUAGGGUUGUAAACCGCUUUCAGCAGGGAAGAAACUGACGGUACCUGCAGAAGAAGAUGCGGCCAACUACGUGCCAGCAGCCGCGGUGACACGUAGGCAUCAAGCGUUGUCCGGAAUUAUUGGGCGUAAAGAGCUCGUAGGCGGUCCGUUGCGUCUGCCGUGAAAACCCGGAGCUCAACUCCGGGCCUGCGGUGGAUACGGGCGGACUAGAGUCCGGUAGGGGAGACUGGAAUUCCUGGUGUAGCGGUGGAAUGCGCAGAUAUCAGGAGGAACACCGGUGGCGAAGGCGGGUCUCUGGGCCGGAACUGACGCUGAGGAGCGAAAAGCGUGGGGAGCGAACAGGAUUAGAUACCCUGGUAGUCCACGCCGUAAAACGGUGGGCGCUAGGUGUGGGGAUCGUUUCCACGAUCUCCGUGCCGUAGCUAACGCAUUAAGCGCCCCGCCUGGGAGUACGGCCGCAAGGUUAAAACUCAAAGGAAUUGA
rnacentral:rRNA from 1 species